rnacentral:rRNA from 1 species
CCUACGGGAGGCAGCAGUGGGGAAUAUUGCACAAUGGGCGAAAGCCUGAUGCAGCGACGCCGCGUGAGGGAUGACGGCCUUCGGGUUGUAAACCUCUUUCAGUAGGGAAGAAGCGAAAGUGACGGUACCUGCAGAAGAAGCGCCGGCUAACUACGUGCCAGCAGCCGCGGUAAUACGUAGGGCGCAAGCGUUAUCCGGAAUUAUUGGGCGUAAAGAGCUCGUAGGCGGUUUGUCGCGUCUGCUGUGAAAGAACGGGGCUCAACUCCGGUUCUGCAGUGGGUACGGGCAGACUAGAGUGAUGUAGGGGAGACUGGAAUUCCUGGUGUAGCGGUGAAAUGCGCAGAUAUCAGGAGGAACACCGAUGGCGAAGGCAGGUCUCUGGGCAUUAACUGACGCUGAGGAGCGAAAGCAUGGGGAGCGAACAGGAUUAGAUACCCUGGUAGUCCAUGCCGUAAACGUUGGGCACUAGGUGUGGGGGACAUUCCACGUUUUCCGCGCCGUAGCUAACGCAUUAAGUGCCCCGCCUGGGGAGUACGGCCGCAAGGCUAAAACUCAAAGGAAUUGACGGGGGCCCGCACAAGCGGCGGAGCAUGCGGAUUAAUACGAUGCAACGCGAAGAACCUUACCAAGGCUUGACAUGGACCGGACCGCCGCAGAAAUGUGGUUUCCCUUUGGGGCCGGUUCACAGGUGGUGCAUGGUUGUCGUCAGCUCGUGUCGUGAGAUGUUGGGUUAAGUCCCGCAACGAGCGCAACCCUCGUUCUAUGUUGCCAGCACGUGAUGGUGGGGACUCAUAGGAGACUGCCGGGGUCAACUCGGAGGAAGGUGGGGACGACGUCAAAUCAUCAUGCUCCUUAUGUCUUGGGCUUCACGCAUGCUACAAUGGCCGGUACAAAGGGUUGCGAUACCGUGAGGUGAGCUAAUCCAAAAGCCGGUCUCAGUUCGGAUUGGGGUCUGCAACUCGACCCCAUGAGUCGAGUCGCUAGUAAUCGCAGAUCAGCAUGCCGCGUGAUACGUUUCCGGG